rnacentral:tmRNA from 1 species
CCAAAACGCGGACUACGCGCGUAGAGGCCUGCCGUAGGGACUUUCGGACGGGGGUUCGACUCCCCCCACCUCCACCA